GUGCUACUCCCUCCGUUCCAAAUUACUCGUCGCAGAAAUGGAUGUAUCUAGAACUAAAAUACAUCUAGAUACAUCCAUAUCUGCGACAAGUAAUUCGGAAAGGAGGGAGUAUUAG
rnacentral:pre_miRNA from 1 species